rnacentral:lncRNA from 1 species
CGGAGCAGUGUAAAUGCACCGUGAGUGAGGCUGCAGCGAGGGAGAGGACUGCUCAUCAUCCGCCAUUUCACGUUCAGAGAAAAAAAAACUUUACACACGCAGCACGUAGUUUAAAAACUCGACCAGUCGGCUAAAAAGCGAAAAAAAAUAAUAAAACAGAGUCCACCAUACCUCAAAAAUAGAAAACUGAGCGUUGUUUUAACAGGAGAAAAGAAAAUCGCCAACCACCGCUGCUACCAGUGUAAAACGUGGAUGUGGAGUGAAAGUUCUUACUCAACUCUUGGGCUGUGAGUCUAUUCGGUCGGCGAAACGGUAGCGAGUCCGGAACCACAACAGAACAGAGGCAGGCUGGACGGUGAAUAUCAUCAGAAGCACUUUUAUUUGAGUACGACUGGGAGACUACAUUUAGCUGCAGGUAUCACAGAAGAUGGAACCCUCCCCCUCUUCAUAGUAGGCCGAGGGCCCUUCGGCUACUACAAGAGAAGGAGCUGGCUGACCCACCAGUCCCCCAGGAAACCUCUAAGGAGCAGAUCCAAGACUUGGACCACUGCCACCAUUUGUGAACGUGUCGCCGUGUGAAGGCUCUGAAGAGUGGGUUCGCCAGAAAGAGUGAGACGAAUGCUGCCAGGUAAGUUCCAAAAACCCAGUGAAUUUCUUUGUGUUUCCACAGCCGUAACAAACAAUG